GGGGAUAUAGCUUAGUGGUAGAGCUUUUACCUAGCAUGUGAAAGGCCCUGGGUUUGAUUCCUGGCACUGUUU
rnacentral:tRNA from 1 species